AAUGAACGUUGGCGGCGUGGAUUAGGCAUGCAAGUCGAACGCUUUAUGUAGCAAUACAUGAAGAGAGGCGUAAGGGAGAGUAAUCCAUGGUUAGCUACCCUCGGGUCUGGGAUAGCGGCGGGAAACUGCCGGUAAUACCAGAUGACAUCUUCGGAUCAAAGGUGUGAUUCCGCCCGGGGAGGCGACCGUGUCCUAUCAGCUAGUUGGCGGUGUAAUAGACCACCAAGGCUAAGACGGGUAUGGGGCGUGAGAGCGUGCCCCCACUCACUGGGACUGGGACACUGCCCAGACACCUACGGGUGGCUGGAGUCGAGAAUCUUCGGCAAUGGGCGCAAGCCUGACCGAGCGACGCCGCGUGCGGGAUGAAGGCCUUCGGGUUGUAAACCGCUGUCGUAGGGGAGGAAGCGACCGUGAAGAACGGAAGUUGACCGAUCCUAGGAGGAAGGGCCGGCUAAUCUCGUGCCAGCAGCCGCCGUAA
rnacentral:rRNA from 1 species